AUUGUUCUUCUCAUGGGAAGGAGGAGAAGACGAAGUGGCAGAGAAGAACAUUCCAGACAAGUGAGGGAGAGAGGAGAAGGCGAAGUUGCAGAGACGACAGAGAGGAAAGACGAGCGUGCGUUUGCGAUUUGCCUUCGCUCUCACCGAUCAAAGUUCGUAUGGAACAUCUGGAAGAAGUAUUAUAUCUGGAUUGGCCUCCAAACUGCUCUGCCCCAAGACUAUAAAAUGCAUUUCAAUCAUCAUUGUACUGAGGUGGGAUCAAAGAAGAAGAUGGAUGGUUAUUAGUUUGAUGCACUUGUGUUUGGACUCUAUGGCUGAGGUGUUGUUUUAGUCUGUAGGUGCAAGGUAAAAGGAUUCUCACUUUCCUGAUCUUGUAAUCCUACAGUGUGUAUGGAUGGUACAACUUGAAAGAUGAUGGAAUGCUCUGUUACUUUUGGGGCUUUUCUCAUAGUGCAGUGGUUCAUAAGGCCUCCAAGUGGGGUAUUUGAAUGAGAGUGCAACAAUUUGGUUCGCAGGCAAGAUAAGGUGCAUUUACUGGGCACUUGAAGUGGAGGGACAAGUUUAGCUUUCCAAAUUGUAUUUAUGAGAUGUAGAUCCUCUACUGUUUGUGGGUGUCAAUGUAAAUUAUGUAUUUCUGAUAUGAAGCCAGCACUAACCAUCAAAAUUGUAAAUCUAUCUGAGCUCUAUUAGUGGCCGUUACAACUGCCAGAGACUAAACCACAAACCGCCAAUAAAAAAUAAUUUCAAAUAAAA